UACGUAGGGGGCAAGCGUUGUCCGGAUUUAUUGGGCGUAAAGGGUGUGUAGGUGGCGCCGUAAGUCGGGUGUGAAAUUUCGGAGCUUAACUCCGAAACUGCAUUCGAUACUGCGGUGCUUGAGGACUGGAGAGGAGACUGGAAUUCAUGGUGUAGCAGUGAAAUGCGUAGAGAUCAUGAGGAAGACCAGUGGCGAAGGCGGGUCUCUGGACAGUUCCUGACACUGAGACACGAAGGCCAGGGGAGCAAACGGG
rnacentral:rRNA from 1 species